ACAUAAGGAGCAAGCGUUAUCCGGAAUUAUUGGGCGUAAAGAGCUCGUAGGCGGUCUUAAAAGUCAGGUGUGAAAUCAUCAGGCUCAACCUGAUAAGGUCAUCUGAAACUUUAAGACUUGAGGAUAGAAGAGGAAAGUGGAAUUCCCGGUGUAGCGGUGAAAUGCGUAGAUAUCGGGAGGAAUACCAGUGGCGAAGGCGGCUUUCUGGUCUAUUUCUGACGCUGAGGAGCGAAAGCUAGGGGAGCAAACGGG
rnacentral:rRNA from 1 species